UACGUAGGUGGCAAGCGUUGUCCGGAUUUAUUGGGUUUAAAGGGUGCGUAGGCGGCCCUGUAAGUCAGUGCUGAAAUAUCCCAGCUUAACUGGGAGGGUGGCAUUGAUACUGCGGGGCUAGAGUACAGAUGAGGUAGGCGGAAUUGACGGUGUAGCGGUGAAAUGCUUAGAUAUCGUCAAGAACACCUAUAGCGAAGGCAGCUUACUAGGCUGUAACUGACGCUGAGGCACGAAGGUCAGGGGAGCAAACGGG
rnacentral:rRNA from 1 species